rnacentral:rRNA from 1 species
AUUGAACGCUGGCGGCAGGCUUAACACAUGCAAGUCGAGCGGAGAUGAGGUGCUUGCACCUUAUCUUAGCGGCGGACGGGUGAGUAAUGCUUAGGAAUCUGCCUAUUAGUGGGGGACAACAUUCCGAAAGGAAUGCUAAUACCGCAUACGCCCUACGGGGGAAAGCAGGGGAUCUUCGGACCUUGCGCUAAUAGAUGAGCCUAAGUCGGAUUAGCUAGUUGGUGGGGUAAAGGCCUACCAAGGCGACGAUCUGUAGCGGGUCUGAGAGGAUGAUCCGCCACACUGGGACGGAGACACGGCCCAGCAUCCUACGGGAGGCAGCAGUGGGGAAUAUGGGACAAUGGGCGGAAGCCUGAUCCAGCCAUGCCGCGUGUGUGAAGAAGGCCUUUUGGUUGUAAAGCACUUUAAGCGAGGAGGAGGCUACUGAGACUAAUACUCUUGGAUAGUGGACGUUACUCGCAGAAUAAGCACCGGCUAACUCUGUGCCAGCAGCCGCCGUAACAC